ACAUUGGACUCAGCUGUCAGCUGCAGAAGCCCACAAACACUGGGCAUGUUACCUAAGCAGAACCCUGCAAAGUUCCAAGCCAGGCUCAUGACUCAGUGGGGGAAGCAGUGUUUCUCCCUGAAUCAGCCCCAGCCAGGCCACAUCUGAGGCUUAGCCCAGCCAAGAGUCCAGCCACUGCCCAGCUGCCUGUGGACACACGGGCCCUGUGCUGUCUCAGCUGAGAGGUCCCCAUCUACUGACUCACUCGCACCUGGGGCUUCUUGGCUGGUCAUCUGGAAAGGUACAAACUGAAGUUUUCUUUAUCCAAGGCAAUCUUUUAGAAGUCACCCUACGUUUCUUCAAAGUGUCUGGACGCAGUGUGGAGCGUGGUUUAUUUCGUCCAUGUUGCGGCAGCCUGUGUUGGAACUCGCUGAGGUUUGAAGCCUGUCAUCAACAUACAGACUGACAUGAACUUUCAAUGGGAGUCACAGAGGGCUGUACGGGCAAACAGGAGAAAUGACAGGGUACCAAAGACCGCCCUGUCAGCUGAAGGGCACCCUGGAUGCCUGUCUCUGAGCCCUCACACUCCUGUAACCUGUGAAGAGUGGGCAAGCAGAACAGGCACGUAUUAAAGCCGGUGGCUUGAAACCGGACUUGUCUGAGAUGCUGUAAACAAAUUUUUGCCCACUAUGUUUGACAGUUACAAAAUAUUUUGUAGGUGAUGGGUCAUGCAUCUUCCUGACACACUGUGAAGCAGGAAGAAACAGGAACAGUAGCUCUGUGUUACACGUGAGGAGCGAGAAGCACCAACAUGGGAUGUGUGCUCUGUUUCGGAUGAUUGACCAGCAAGCCCCAAGGAUCUGCCUGUCUCCACCACCCCUCGACCUCCUAGCAUUGGAACUGCAGACAGGAGCUGACACACCCAGGCUUUCACAUGGAUGCUAAGAAUGAUCUAACUCAGGUCUCAGGCUUCCACUGCAAGUGUUGCACCCACUGAGCCAUCCAUCCCGCCCCCUCUACUCUUCGGAAGUUUCCAACCCUAAUAUGGUUUCCGACAAUUGUGUCCAACAAUAAAUAUGUUUUGCUUUAGGGAGGAAAUUCCUCAUUCUCUUCCUUGAGACUCUCUGUUGAACAAAGACAGAUCUUUUGUUAAAAGUAUAAGUUACCAGCUGCCAUAUUCUUGAUAUCUGCAUUCUUUGCAGGGUCUUCAUUCUGGAUUUCAUCUUCAAUAUGGAUCCACAGGCUUUAAGAACAUAACGCUUUCUAAAGAGCUCCAGCAAUGGAAACAGCUGUCAGCUCUUCCACCAAAGAUGCUCAAACCAUCACGCUGUCACAUUUAAAUAUAAGAAGCCCCCAAUAUGGAAGAAGACAUCGCUUCUGGUUACCGUCUUGUGUGUGCUAGCUCUCUUUCACUAAUGUCCACUUAAAAAAUAUACAUCAUAACUUGAGCACAGCGGCACAUGCUUUUAAUCCCAGCACCUGGGAGGCAGAGGCAGGCGGGUCCCUGAGAUUUGAGGCCAACCUGGUCUACAGAGUGAGUUCCAGGACAGCAGGGGCUAUAUAGUUAAACCAUCCAUGUUUUGAAGAAACAAGCAAGUGUAUAUUAUUUACUUAUAUUACAUAUUACAUUGUGCAUAUAUAGUAUAUAUGCAUCAUAGUAAUCUGUCCAUCCCAUACAUUGAAUGAAUUGAUAUUUCAAUCUCCCAAAAAUCUGGAGAAGAAUGUGUGUUCCUUGCUGAGCACUUAAGUGUGUUUAUGAACUGAGUAAAUCAUGCCUUGGCAAA
rnacentral:lncRNA from 1 species